AGGAGUUUAGUCACACCGAAGGAG
rnacentral:siRNA from 1 species